rnacentral:snRNA from 1 species
AAACAUGAGGGCUAUUUAGCUGCAACAUCUGUCACCCCAUUGAUCACAAGAGUUGAUUUGGCUGAUGUGACUGGCUAGGGAGGUGUCCCCUUCCUCUCUCUCCAUUCUAUGUGCAUCCCUCCUGAAGUUGUGUGCUCAGUCAAAGAGGAUGAUCAUCACUGAUAGAGGAGGACUGGUCUGCAGUCAAGGGUAUACGAGGAGCUGCACUCCCCUGCUAGAAACUCCAAACAAGCUCUCAAUUUAGUUCAAAAAAUAUUUAUUGGAUGUUUCGUGUAUGUCAGACAUUGUUUUAGAUAGUUCAUUUGAAAUAGUGGUCUUCAAA